GGAAACUCUUUCAGUGGUAAGCGACGUUACCAUUCGUUAAUCUCGAGGAAUUGUUGGUCUAGUAUUUAAAGAUGCUCAUUGGGGUAGGGUUUUAUGUGCGUGCAUUCAUAUGGGGGUGAGUGUGCAUGCGUGGUGAGUGUCUACGUUGUACUAUGUAAUCACAAAACUGAGAAGAUAUCUGAACUUGUAAUUAUGACAACUUCUCCAAGGAAGAGAACACCACAAGUGCCAACGUCGUAUGUUCAACACUGACUAAGUUUUCACCUAUAAGAACACAAGACACAUGGGGCAAUGACAAAUGCUUCUGAGGAGGAAGACGAUGUCGAAGGUGUCACCGCCGUUGGCCCGGCUUCACAUCAAUGGACAACAGCUUUUACCUAGAUAUAUAGCCUCCAAAGUCGGUGAAUCAUACCCCAUAUACCGCAUCGUCGCCGAAUGUCAUGAACCCAAAGCACCUACUGUGUGCUUGUACCAUAGCAUAUACUACCAUCAUGCUAGAAAAACGAGAGAUAGUAAAAAUUAGUGAAACUUUAAAUCCGUAGAAGUAUAAAGGUAGAAAUAUCCAAAUAAAUACACAAUAAAUAAUCCAGCUGUGGAAAUGAAACUCUGUUUUUUUUUCAACUAAAGAGUCAGUCUGCCAUACCAUGCAUGAAAUUAUUUCAAGAAUAUAGUCAAGGUAUAACUUAAAAAACAUGGUAUAAUCUUCCCAAAAAAUGUAAGCAAAUAUAAUAGAGCGCUGACUUCGGAUAAAGUGGAGACAUGUUCAGGUUAUCAUGCAGGGAAAAAGAAAGAAAAACUAGUGAUCAUUCAGUACCCACCUACCUCAUUCCGGUUGAAUAUUGUUCUUAUAAGAGCAUUUUCAAGAGACUACGUAAAAUAAAUCUCUAAAAACAAGAUUUAGAGGCUCUCUAAAUAAAAAUAGUUCUCCAAAUACUAGAGCACCACAACAAAAUUUUGUCUCCUGCUAUCCAUCCCGCCUCGCAUGCGGCUGGUUGCGCUUCGGAGCGCUGCAUGUCAUGACGUGCCCCAGCUACCGCGAUUCAUGCGAACUUGGCGAGCCAGCCUCACUGGCUUUGUAUGACGAGCGAAAAACAUGGAAUAACUCGCGGCUAAAUUUAGAUAAUGAGAGAUGAAGAGCCUGUUGGAGAUGAUUUUUUUUGCUAAUAAUAGCCAUAUUUAUAUUUAUAAAAUGAUUCACAUAGUCUCUUGGAGAUACUCUAAGUCACCACAGGUGACUCGUUACUGCAAACUGUGAAUGUAAAAAAAAAAAAAGAUAACUUGUUUAUUUCCUCCAAAAAUUAUCUUACUCCCUCUGUCUCUAAAUAUCUAUCUUUCUCGCUUCUCGAGAAAUAACUUUAAUUAAUUUUAUAUAAAAAAUAUUAAUAUUUAUAAUGCACAACUAAUAUCAUUAGAUAGAUCUUUGAAUCUAGUUUUUAAAUAAAUUUAUUUGGAUAUACACAUGUUCCAUGUAUUUUCUAAAAAUCUAAUUAAAGUUGUGACACAAAAACCCAAAACGACUUUUCGCAAAAAAAAAACCCAAAACGACAAAUGAAAAGGGACGGAGAGAGUAUGUGCUAUAAUAAUAUAUAGCGGAAUUAUUAGGUGGAUGUUGAUGUAAAGUACAAGUUUUUAUACAAGGAGGGUAGCAUACAACAUAAGAUUUGAACUUGUUAGUCUUUGACUAAUAAGCCAUCAUAAUCGCCUAGCCAUCAAUGAGCACUUGUCAACUGUACUUAUACUAUAUCCGUGUUAUUCUAUCAACCUUAGGGCGUCUGCUUAGAUCCAUGAAGCCAAUAGUUAGCUGCUAACAAUUAGCUGAGUAAAACCAAACGAGCCUAGCUAAUUGAUAGGGCAUUUUCACCAGGUCUCAUAUCUAGUCUCCUAUAUCUUUAAACUAGCAAUCUCAUCACUAUACCUAUAGCAUUUUAGAGAUAUCUUGAAACCAGCUUUAUCUCCCCUAACGAAAGGAGAGAACCCCUCUCUAGCUUCCUUGUCUCUAAAGAAAUAUAGGAGAC
rnacentral:lncRNA from 1 species